rnacentral:rRNA from 1 species
ACACUGACGUCGCGACGCAUAUCAAUAAGCGGAGGAAAAGAAACUAACAAGGAUUCCCUUAGUAACGGCGAGUGAAGCGGGAAGAGCUCAAAUUUGAAAUCUUCAAGGUUUUACCUUGACGAAUUGUAGUCUAAAGAAGUGUUUUCUGCUGAAGUUUUGGUAAAAGUUCUUUGGAAUAGGACAUCAUAGAGGGUGGGAAUCCCGUAUUUGACCAUUAUUUUCAGCUUUGUGAUACACUUUCAAAGAGUCGGAUUGUUUGGGAAUGCAGUCCAAAAUGGGUGGUAAAUUUCAUCUAAAGCUAAAUAUUGGCGAGAGACCGAUAGCGAACAAGUACCGUGAGGGAAAGAUGAAAAGAACCUUGAAAAGAGAGUUAAACAGUACGUGAAAUUGUCAAAAGGGAAGCGUUUGACACCAGUGUUGUUUUUCUGAAAAUCAAUUAAAGAACUGUUUAUGCUAAGUUGUUUAGACUUUAUCAGCUAACUGUUUAGUUUUGAGCUUUUCUUUAAUGCACUUUUCAGUUAACAAGUCAACAUCAAUUUCUUUUGUUGUAAAAGGGUAUGAGGAAGGUGGCUUUCUUUUCGGAGAAAGUGUUUAUAGCCUUUGUCCUUCUGCAAUCGGAGAGAUUGAGGUCUGCAGCGUAGAUCCUUCGGGGUUAGAUACAUUUGUGCUAAGUUAUAGCCUUUCAUAGACAACUUAUUGACUAUGAUUCAGUCAUGUAGCUUACUCGCUUAUGCUAUUUUACCUACGCUUAGGAUGUUGACGCAUGAGAUAUACGC